GCUGCCUCUUUAUACCAUAAAGUAGGCGGUUUAUUGUCUUCCGCCAUACAAUUCUGAAUCUUCAUAAUCAUCGCUAGUUAAACAAUAACAGGAAAGUUAUAAAUAAUUAGGAACAGAAUUUCAUCAAAUUCAAAAUAAGCUUGUUAAAAACCUAACAAUUUAAGGAAAGAAAAUGCGAACAAAAAAGAAGAUAACUCCGAAAACUGAGACGGUGUAGUAAGCACGGAACUCGCUCACUCAGCGGGAAGUAAAGUGCUCUCAACCCGGCUGAAGGUAAUCACUAAGAAUUUCCCAAAGGCGUGUUUACGACGCACCUUGCACGGCCCAAUCUUCGCCUCUCCAGUGACAUCAUUAUCACAUGCCGCCUUGCAAAUAUUCACAACACAAAAACAGUAAACGAAAGUCAUUGCAUACAAAAAGUUUGAUCGUACCCUAUCCAACUAAGUUGAAAGAGUCGUUGCAAUGGCAGCCAUAUCCACGUAUAACAGAACAAAGUCCCAUCUACCAUUUAAAAUGAACAUAAAACAAUUCAACUUCGAAGAGACGGAAAGAGUUCGAGCGAGUUGGGAAAGAUAAUUUUUGUUCUCGUUUAUCCAGACUACUAUUGUCAGGACACCUGGCACGCCAUUGCUAAUGGGACUUCGUUGAAAACGUUUGAUCGAAUAAAGACCGCCUAAUUAUC